GUUUGCCAGAAAUUCGUCGGUAAGCAGAUUUGCAUUGAUUUACGUCAUCAUUG
rfam:Shigella dysenteriae Sd197, complete genome.